rnacentral:lncRNA from 1 species
GUUCUUCAUUGCUCGUUCAAUAUGCAUCUGCUGGAAAAAAGGAUUUUCAAUUAUGUCAAGCCAGUCUCAUUUCUUCAUCAAUAACUUAUAUUUAAUGGUUGUUAAGUAAGGUGGUGGAAUUGCAUUUUUGGAGGUGGUACUCCUGGAGAUUGAGCAUUUUAAAGUUAUUGUAGUGCUAGUUCACAUUUCAAGAAAAGAGAUGUCAUGGUGUUAGUUGCUGCAUAUGCAAAGGAGAAU